rfam:Picea glauca, whole genome shotgun sequence.
AGCCCAUGUGGUCAAGACAGAGUGAACAAUUCUUUCAAAUUUUACUAAAGAAUACCAUGUCUUGGCCAUCAACAAGGACAUAUGCCUAUUUUAGAGGCUUCUCUCUCAUUUCGAGAUGU